GGGCCUAUAGCUCAGUUGGUUAGAGCAGGGGACUCAUAAUCCCUUGGUCGUAAGUUCUUAUGUAGGGUUCA
rnacentral:tRNA from 1 species